rnacentral:rRNA from 1 species
GCAAAAGUGCGCAUGCUAUCUGGUUGAGUAACACGUACCUAACCUACCUUUAAGACUGGGAUAACUAUUGGAAACAAUAGCUAAUACCGGAUAUAGUUAUUUAUCGCAUGAUGAGUAAUAGAAAGGAGCUUAACAGCUUCACUUAAAAAUGGGGGUGCUGAACAUUAGUUAGUUGGUAGGGUAAUGGCCUACCAAGACGAUGAUGUUUAGCCGGGCCGAGAGGCUGUACGGCCACACUGGGACUGAGAUACGGCCCAGACUCCUACGGGAGGCAGCAGUAGGGAAUUUUUCACAAUGGACGAAA